GUGGGGAAUCUUCCGCAAUGGACGAAAGUCUGACGGAGCAACGCCGCGUGAGUGAUGAAGGUCUUCGGAUUGUAAAGCUCUGUUAAUCGGGACGAAAGAGCCUAGUGUGAAUAAUGCUAGGAAGUGACGGUACCGGAAUAGAAAGCCACGGCUAACUACGUGCCAGCAGCCGCGGUAAUACGUAGGUGGCAAGCGUUGUCCGGAAUUAUUGGGCGUAAAGCGCGCGCAGGCGGAUCUGCCAGUCUGUCUUAAAAGUUCGGGGCUUAACCCCGUGAUGGGAUGGAAACUACAGAUCUAGAGUAGCGGAGAGGAAAGUGGAAUUCCUAGUGUAGCGGUGAAAUGCGUAGAUAUUAGGAAGAACACCAGUGGCGAAGGCGACUUUCUGGACGAAAACUGACGCUGAGGCGCGAAAGCCAGGGGAGCGAACGGGAUUAGAAACCCCGGUAGUCC
rnacentral:rRNA from 1 species